rnacentral:rRNA from 1 species
UACACUCCUACGGGAGGCAGCAGUGGGGAAUUUUGGACAAUGGGCGAAAGCCUGAUCCAGCAAUGCCGCGUGAGUGAAGAAGGCCUUCGGGUUGUAAAGCUCUUUUGUCAGGGAAGAAACGGUGAAAGCUAAUAUCUUUUGCUAAUGACGGUACCUGAAGAAUAAGCACCGGCUAACUACGUGCCAGCAGCCGCGGUAAUACGUAGGGUGCAAGCGUUAAUCGGAAUUACUGGGCGUAAAGCGUGCGCAGGCGGUUUUGUAAGUCUGAUGUGAAAUCCCCGGGCUCAACCUGGGAAUUGCAUUGGAGACUGCAAGGCUAGAAUCUGGCAGAGGGGGGUAGAAUUCCACGUGUAGCAGUGAAAUGCGUAGAUAUGUGGAGGAACACCGAUGGCGAAGGCAGCCCCCUGGGUCAAGAUUGACGCUCAUGCACGAAAGCGUGGGGAGCAAACAGGAUUAGAUACCCGGGUAGUCCCAUG